GACGAACGCUGGCGGCGUGCCUAAUACAUGCAAGUCGAACGCAGUGGGGACGGGUGAGUAACCCGUGGGUAACCUCCCAUCAGAGGGGAUAACACUUGGAAACAGGUGCUAAUCCGAUACUGAUGGAUGGACCCGCGGUUCAUUAGCUAGUUGGUGGGGGAACGGCUCACCAAGGCCACGAUGCAUAGCGGACCUGAGAGGAGGAUCGGCCACACGGGGACUGAGACACGGCCCAGACUCCUACGGGAGGCAGCAGUGGGGAAUAUUCGGCAAUGGACGAAAGUCUGACCGAGCAACGCCGCGUGAGUGAAGAAGUUUUUCGGAUCGUAAAGCUCUGUUGUUAGAGAAGCGGUAUCUAACCAGAAAGCCACGGCUAACUACGUGCCAGCAGCCGCGGUAAUAC
rnacentral:rRNA from 1 species